CCAAGGAAUAUCGCAGAAAAAGUGAAAAAAACUAAAGUACUUAAUUAAUGCAAAUUACUUAAUAAAAGCUGUCUACCUGGAGCUCUCCAAUGCCAGGAUAUCUUCAAUCUAACUUUCCACAAGGACCUAAUCAAAACUUCAAUCUCAGAGAUGAAUCCAUUCUCGAAGAACUCACUGAAUUUUACUUGGAAGCUUCUUAUGUUGUCAAAGUAAACCUAGAUGAAGUGUCAUAUCCAGAAACAAAUUAUUAUGUGAGAAUAAAAUGGUCCAACAAACUACAACAUAGACAAGGCCUGGUAGUUCGCUGAAGGGGGAGGUCUGAAAGACUAUUGCUAUAUAUAUGUUGGGUCUCUCAGCAGCGACAAUACAUAGGGAGCAAGAGAGUUACCUGGCGCCACAAGCAGCAGUAGUCCAAAAGCUCCCAGCAGCAGUACAAGCAUUCUGCAGGUUUGGUUAGAGUGUUUCCUGGGCUUUCUGUUUAUUUGCAGCUUUGCUUGUAUGUGUACACAUGGUAUGAGUAGAAGUAGAAUAUUAGGGUGGAAUGUUAUAUAUCUCAAUCUCAAUGUGAGACAUAACUUGUAUAUAUAAUGAAA
rnacentral:lncRNA from 1 species